CCUACGGGGGGCAGCAGUGGGGAAUCUUGCGCAAUGGGGGGAACCCUGACGCAGCGACGCCGCGUGCGGGACGGAGGCCUUCGGGUCGUAAACCGCUUUCAGCAGGGAAGAGUCAAGACUGUACCUGCAGAAGAAGCCCCGGCUAACUACGUGCCAGCAGCCGCGGUAAUACGUAGGGGGCGAGCGUUAUCCGGAUUCAUUGGGCGUAAAGCGCGCGUAGGCGGCCCGGCAGGCCGGGGGUCGAAGCGGGGGGCUCAACCCCCCGAAGCCCCCGGAACCUCCGCGGCUUGGGUCCGGUAGGGGAGGGUGGAACACCCGGUGUAGCGGUGGAAUGCGCAGAUAUCGGGUGGAACACCGGUGGCGAAGGCGGCCCUCUGGGCCGAGACCGACGCUGAGGCGCGAAAGCUGGGGGAGCGAACAGGAUUAGAUACCCCGGUAGUC
rnacentral:rRNA from 1 species